rnacentral:misc_RNA from 1 species
GAUGAAGAACGCAGCGAACUGCGAUAAGUAAUGUGAAUUGCAGAAUUCAGUGAAUCAUCGAGUCUUUGAACGCACAUUGCGCCCCCUGGCAUUCCGGGGGGCAUGCCUGUCCGAGCGUUAUUGCUGCCCUUCAAGCCCGGCUUGUGUGUUGGGUCGUCGUCCCCCCCGGGGGACGGGCCCGAAAGGCAGCGGCGGCACCGCGUCCGGUCCUCGAGCGUAUGGGGCUUUGUCACCCGCUCGAUUAGGGCCGGCCGGGCGCCAGCCGGCGUCUCCAACCUUCUAUUUUACCAGGUUGACCUCGGAUCAGGUAGGGAUACCCGCUGAACUUAAGCAUAUCAAUAAGCGGAGGA